rnacentral:tRNA from 1 species
GGCUUUGUAGCCCAACUGGUAGAGCGCUUGCCGCGUUGCGGCAUGCUGCGUCUGUAGCUGGUUCGAAUCCAGCCGAAGCCC